rnacentral:pre_miRNA from 1 species
GUGCUGGAUUAUACGCGAGGGAUAUAACCAAGUCAGCUGAGUUCCCAAAAGACUGGCCGGAUCCUUGGCACAACUUCCAACUG